rnacentral:rRNA from 1 species
UACGGAGGGGGCGAGCGUUGUCCGGAAUCAUUGGGCGUAAAGGUCGCGUAGGUGGCGGGACAAGCGUGCGGUGAAAGCCUGGGGCUCAACCCCGGGUCGGCCGUGCGAACUGUUUUGCUUGAGCACUGUAGAGGCAGGCGGAAUUCCGGGUGUAGCGGUGGAAUGCGUAGAGAUCCGGAAGAACACCGGUGGCGAAGGCGGCCUGCUGGGCAGUAGCUGACACUGAGGCGCGACAGCGUGGGGAGCAAACAGG